GGAGCGUGACGCCGGACCGAGCCUUCCCACCCGGCAGGUGCGGCUCCAGGGCACCGCCCUCCGGAUCGCAGGGCGUCUGCGCGGAUUACGUUGCGGAAAUGAGGCGUCUAGUCAACCAGGAGCUGUCUUCAAACCGGAAGUUAAGCUGGUUGCCUUGGUGAUCGGAGUUCCUGGACCAGUAGAGGCAGUUUUCUAAUUGAUGGGAGGCGUUCUUAGCAUCAUCAGUCCUGUUUUUAUCAGUCUGUAAGGGGAUCUCUCCAUUCUCCAAGCAAAACCAAGAGAGUGAAAGACGCCCUUGGACUGCAGAAAGCAGAAAUCCAGAAACUGAAUCCACCUUCCUCUCUUCUUGACCAAGCAGCAGCGAUGGUGACAGCAAACAGGACACCUCUCCAUCCCUGCUCGUCCUUCAGAGAGGAUGCACAGUGAAGUCACCCACAAAGAGCACAGCUUCCCCAGCCCUGCAUUAGCUCCGCCCAGCAGAGGUUCCUGUUUCUGCAUUCCCAAAGGCGUCUGGUCUCACCUUUGCCUGAGAUUACACUACAGAGGAACUUAAAGGCUCAGGUUCCACUGCAAAGAAGGGAGCAUUUCUGUGUAAAGGGCCAGGCAUUGGUCAAUAUGGAACACUGCGAGGUAAUUGUUAUACAGGUCGGGGUUAAAAUCCAUGGAACCAAAGGCUUAUUGCUCGUGCUGGGGGACAAGAGGACACCGCAAUCACGUUUCUCCUGGACCCUUUCUCCUCCUUAGGUUUAUGGGUUCUAGAAGGGCAGAAGCGGAUGGCCCUUUGCCCCUUCAGUAUCACUAAGCACUUCUCAUAUCACAGUCCAGAGAAAAGCAAUUUGUACUCCAAGAUAAUAAUGGCACUAUCAAUCUACUGGUAGUAUGUUUCAAAUGAUAAAAACUUAUCAUGUCUCAUAAAGCUAUACCUUGCCAUGGGUGGUUCUGGGGGUUUUCUGUAGCUGAGUUUGCUGUUGUGAGGACGCACAAUCUUCAGGACCACGAUGGCCAUGGGUGUCACUGUCACCCCGCUUCAAAAGCAGUUCUGCACACUUGGAAACAUUCAGUUUUGUUUUGGUUUUCCAUCAAAUGCUUUUGUUUUUUUAGGUAAGUCUUCUCAAACUCCCAUGGCAGGUAAACUGUCCUUUCUGGAGUGCUCUGUCCCUGAGUCACUUAAACAAAGGGUCAUGGCUGAAGAGGUGGCUCAGUGGGUGAUGUGUUUUCUGGGCAAGCCUGGCUACCUGACUUCAAUCCCUGGAACCCAUGUAAAAGUGGAUGGAAAGAACUAACUCUUAAAGUUCACACACACACACACACACACACACACACACAAUUUUAAAAUAAAACAAGACUAAAAGGCCCACUGGUCCUUUGGACUCAAAAGACAGCAUGCUCCUCCCAGAAGUUGCAUUUUCUGUAAGUGAUAAGGGACAGGACUGAAAACUGAAGCCCUCGCUUACCCUUGGUGUUAGAGGCUGUAAUCUAAGCUCCAACUCAACUGUCACAGUGUUCUCUCAGCUCUACUGGACAAACCUGACACUGGUGUCAGUGUCCCUUCCCAGGGCUUUCUUUGUUGGGUUUAGGUACACUAAUUCACAUGCAUUGUGCUAAAAAGAGGAAAAACUGUAAAUGAAGAUUGACCCCAGAGACAUAAAAAAUGCUGGAAAUUCUCAGCUCAAACAGCAAACAAUAAUAAAGAGGGCAGCUGCCUUGUUUUUCUGGAGCUCCAUCUGGCUGCAUUAGCUGCUUGACUGUAUAAAUGUGGUCUUAGCUCUGCUCGGGUUGAGGAUUGCCGGCCUUACCCCCAGCAGUGCCCACUGGGCACAGCACAUGUUUGGUCUGUGUCUGUUAAGUGACUGAACUG